CACCCGGAAGAGUGAAAUAAUUAUUUUGUUCCCCGAUUGCUUCCGCGCUCACAUUUUGCUUCUCCCUAAUUUUCCUAAUCUCUUCUGCACACCUCUUCUUCAUUGUUCACCGCAAAACGUUUUUUGUCAUUCACUAUACUGGUCUGAGUCCUCAUCGUCCGCCUGAGUCUUCAUCAGCCUGAGUCUUCAUCAUCCGCCUGAGUCGCGUCCUUCGCCUGAGUUGCGUCCUUCGCCUUAGUCGCAUCCAUCGUCUGACUCUUCCUUCGUUGUCCGCCAUUGAUGCUUGAGCUUCGUCCGUCACAGUUAAGUUCUCUUCUUCUGAAAUUCCUAAUUCUCUCGUCCUCUUAGUCUCAUCUGAAUUCUCUUUUCCAUCGCCCUAUCCUCUUUCCAAAACCCCAGAAAUUGGAAAACCUCGUUCCAUUCAAAUUUAGGGGUUUUAAUUUCAUGUAAAUUGUUGUGGUUAAAUUGAUUGAUUUUUGUCUUACUUAUAUUGAGCAUGUUGUGAUGUAUGGUCUUGACUAGAAUGCAUAUAUGUUUUAGAGUUCUUGUUUUUUUUUUCUAUGUUAGGUACUGGGAACAUAAACUCGUGUUGAAUACGAUUUCUAUAAUCCUGAUUCAAGAUAAAGACAUUAAAAGGAACUCCAGUUUUGUUGUUCAUUAUGCAGAUUUGUCUUAUAUUGAGAGGAAGUCCAGUUAAUGGAUUGACUUUUUUGAUAAAAGAAAACUUUCAUAGAACAGAGAUAUCAAAGUUGUGCGGUUCCCCUCAAUGAUCUAAGCCUCUUAGUUUUUGCUUGGUUUGCAGUUCCCCUCGACGACCGAUGCAGUAACAACCACGACAUAUGCUACCAAUUAGGACUUGUCAAUCUGCUGAUGUUAGAAAUAACAAGAACUUAAGUAUCUGCAAUGUUUCUUAGCGUUUACCUCAAUAACAAGAACUUACCUCAAUAAUAUCUAUAUAAAUAUGCUUUUAUCUUUGCUGCAUUUCUUAACACCGCACUCGUUUUGACAAAUUAAACGUGACAGACAUACUGUAUAAUAUUUGUUUAUUUUGUCCCCCCCUCUCCUUGAAAAUUAAACUAUCUCCUGCUUUAAACCACUUCUAUUUUUACAUACCCUAUAUCAUUGUUGAAAUCUCAAUCUUUUGGACUAUAACUUAUUUCACAAUAAUUAUCCUUGACCUUAGUGAUGCUCUUCUGUUCUGGUUAAGAUCUAUGCAGAAUUUUGGAGUCAAAAAACUUUAAUGUCAGGUUCUCUUUAUUGUCUCAGUUAUCUGGGUUUGUCAUUUUGUGCAAAAUGAUUACACGCAUAACUAAAUGCUAAUUGUCAUAUCAUAAUACAGAAAACAAUUCUCUGUAUCUUCUGCUUAUAUCUAUGCUAUAAUGGGUUCUGCUGCUGGAAUUGCAGUAUUCUAGUUGAGGAUUUUCAUUAAAGAUAUUAUGUUUCUUAUUCAGAAAAGUGGAACAAAUAGCUGAGGAGGCUGAAUCACUAAGAGCAAGUUUGGAUAAAUAUAACUUACGGCAUCAGAAACGGAUGAGAGAAGCUAAUUAGAGAGCAGAACUGUUGGGACGAGCUAAUGGGGAUUCUCCUCAUGUUCUAAGAAUUUUUCAUGAGGAGGCACAAGCAUUACAUUCAGUUCGCGCCUCUGCCCCGGAACUAGAAAAUGCAAAUGCAAUUGGGGAAGCCAUCCUUUCUUCAAUACAUGGUCAAAAGAGAACGCUUGAAGAUUCGGUUGUACAGAGGUUGAGAGAGUUUCAUGAUAUCAAGAGGAGAUAUCACGGCCAUUGUUGACACAAGACUUGUCAUUUCACAACAAUAGGGACGACAAAAAAAUCCACGUCUGCAGAUAUCCGCAGAUAAAACCCGCAAUUGAUAGUUACUAUCCGCAUAUAUUUAUUAUCUGUGAGUAAUAGGUAGCAGAUAUUUUGAUACCUGUUUCGAAACGGAUCGGAUGCAGGUAUUAUACUUUCCAACGCGGAUACU